rnacentral:rRNA from 1 species
GCAAGAUUAAAACUCAAAGGAAUAGACGGGGACCCGCACAAGCGGUGGAGCAUGUGGUUUAAUUCGAAGAUACGCGAAGAACCUUACCUAGACUUGAAAUCCUUAGAAUCCUGCAGAGAUGCGGGAGUGCUAGUUUACUAGAACUAAGUGACAGGUGCUGCACGGCUGUCGUCAGCUCGUGUCGUGAGAUGUUGGGUUAAGUCCCGCAACGAGCGCAACCCUCGUGAUUAGUUGCUAACAGUUCGGCUGAGCACUCUAAUCAGACUGCCUUCGUAAGGAGGAGGAAGGUGAGGACGACGUCAAGUCAUCAUGGCCCUUAUGUCUAGGGCCACACACGUGCUACAAUGGUUGGGACAAAGAGCAGCAAUACCGCGAGGUGGAGCAAAUCUUAAAACCUAAUCUCAGUUCGGAUUGAAGUCUGCAACUCGACUUCAUGAAGCUGGAAUCGCUAGUAAUCGUAGAUCAGCAAUGCUACGGUGAAUACGUUCCCGGGUCUUGUACUCACUGCCCGUCACACCAUGGGAGUUGAUUUCGCUCGAAGCCGGAAUACUAAAUUAGUUACCGUCCACAGCGGAAUUAGCGACUGGGGUGAAGUCGUAACAAGGUA